rnacentral:lncRNA from 1 species
CGGGCGCAGGGGGCCGAGUCGGAGAUCGAGCUUGAGUUCGGGAGCGGCAGCAGAGGGGGCAUAGACACUCUGAGCAGCCUCGGCGUCUCCUCAGCAUUCCUGACUGUGGCCCGCAGUGCCCGACUCCUGGGUUCUCACUGAAGACGCUGCGCGCUGCUGCUUGGGGAGGGGGUGUGGAGCCGGUUCUGCGACCGCAGUGGCUGUCGUCGGGGGUCGACCGAGCGCUGAGGUGUGGAGAGCCUCGCCCGGGGUCGAGCCGAUAACAGGGUUCGGGUGUCUGGUGUGUGACCAUCACAGGGUUUGUGGAUGCACUUAGAUGUUUGCAAUGAGCACUGUGGCUGGCAUGCCCCAGUAUUUUGGAUACCAAUGCAUAGGACUCCAUAGUAAUCGGAUUUACCAGAGGCGAACGUCAUGAGCAUAGCGAUCCCAUUGGGGGUUGAUACAACAGAAACAUCCUACUUGGAAAUGGCUGCAGGCUCAGAACCAGAAUCCGUAGAAGCUAGCCCUGUGGUAGUUGAGAAAUCCAACAGUUAUCCCCACCAGUUAUAUACCAGCAGCUCCCAUCAUUCACACAGCUACAUUGGUUUGCCCUAUGCGGACCAUAAUUAUGGUGCUCGUCCUCCUCCAACACCUCCAGCAUCCCCGCCUCCAUCAGGUCUCAUUAGCAAAAACGAAGUAGGCAUAUUCACCACUCCUCACUUUGACGAGACUUCCAGUGCUACUACAAUCAGCACGUCUGAAGAUGGGAGCUACGGCACUGACGUGACCCGGUGCAUAUGUGGCUUUACACACGAUGACGGCUACAUGAUCUGCUGUGACAAAUGCAGUGUUUGGCAACAUAUUGACUGCAUGGGGAUUGACAGGCAGCAUAUUCCUGAUACAUAUCUAUGUGAACGUUGUCAGCCCAGGAGUUUGGAUAAAGAGAGGGCAGUGCUACUGCAACGCCGGAAAAGAGAAAAUAUGUCAGGCAUUUCGUGAAGGAUCUAGGAAAUCAUCAAGGGUUAAGGGUUCAGCACCAGAAAUUGAUCCUUCGUCUGAUGGUUCAAAUUUUGUAUGGGAGACAAAAAUCAAAGCAUGGAUGGAUCGCUACGAAGAAGCAAAUAAUAACCAGUAUAGCGAGGGCGUGCAGAGAGAGGCGCAAAGACUAGCGCAAAGACUCGGCAGUGGGAGUGACAGCAAAGACAUGAGUAAACCAGAAUUGAGUGUCAACAGCUCCCUCUUCAGACCUCCUGUAGAGGUGCGUGUCACCUGUCAAAACCGUAGAGCACCGCCUGUGUGUCAUGCGUAUCUUUAGACAGACUGAAUAACUGAUUUAACUCACAUAUUUACUGAUUCUAGAGCCAUAUACAGAAGAAUAAAAAAAUUCUGAAAUCUGC